UAAGGAAGUAGCUUGCUACUAGACGACGACCGGCGCACGGGUGAGUAACGCGUAUGUAAUCUGCCUUGUACAGAGGGAUAGCCCAGAGAAAUUUGGAUUAAUACCUCAUAGUAUUACUGAAUCGCAUGAUUUGGUAAUUAAAGCUCCGGCGGUACAAGAUGAACAUGCGUGACAUUAGCUAGUUGGUAAGGUAACGGCUUACCAAGGCUACGAUGUCUAGGGGUUCUGAGAGGAUGAUCCCCCACACUGGUACUGAGACACGGACCAGACUCCUACGGGAGGCAGCAGUGAGGAAUAUUGGUCAAUGGACGCAAGUCUGAACCAGCCAUCCCGCGUGAAGGAUGACUGCCCUAUGGGUUGUAAACUUCUUUUAUAUGCAAAUAAACCUACUUUCGUGAAAGUAGCUGAAGGUAGCAUAUGAAUAAACACCGGCUAACUCCGUGCCAGCAGCCGCGGUAAUACGGAGGGUGUAAGCGUUAUCCGGAUUUAUUGGGUUUAAAGGGUACGUAGGCGGUAAUAUAAGUCAGUGGUGAAAUCCUGCAGCUCAACUGUAGAACUGCCAUUGAAACUGUAUUACUUGAGUAUACUUG
rnacentral:rRNA from 1 species